rnacentral:rRNA from 1 species
UACGUAGGGUGCAAGCGUUGUCCGGAAUUAUUGGGCGUAAAGAGCUCGUAGGCGGUCUGUCACGUCUGCUGUGAAAACUCGGGGCUUAACCCCGGGCCUGCAGUGGGUACGGGCAGACUAGAGUGCGGUAGGGGAGACUGGAAUUCCUGGUGUAGCGGUGAAAUGCGCAGAUAUCAGGAGGAACACCGGUGGCGAAGGCGGGUCUCUGGGCCGUAACUGACGCUGAGGAGCGAAAGCGUGGGGAGCAAACAGG